AUUGAACGCUGGCGGCAUGCUUUACACAUGCAAGUCGAACGGUAACAGGCCGCAAGGUGCUGACGAGUGGCGAACGGGUGAGUAAUGCAUCGGAACGUGCCCAGUCGUGGUGGAUAACUACUCGAAAGAGUAGCUAAUACCUCAUACGAUCUAUGGAUGAAAGCGGGGGACCGUAAGGCCUCGCGCGAUUGGAGCGGCCGAUGUCAGAUUAGGUAGUUGGUGGGGUAAAGGCUCACCAAGCCAACGAUCUGUAGCUGGUCUGAGAGGACGACCAGCCACACUGGGACUGAGACACGGCCCAGACUCCUACGGGAGGCAGCAGUGGGGAAUUUUGGACAAUGGGCGCAAGCCUGAUCCAGCAAUGCCACGUGCAGGAAGAAGGCCUUCGGGUUGUAAACUGCUUUUGUACGGAACGAAACGGCUCUGGUUAAUACCCGGGGCUAAUGACGGUACCGUAAGAAUAAGCACCGGCUAACUACGUG
rnacentral:rRNA from 1 species